UCGUAUGAAUUCCAAUGCUAUGAACGAAUGUGUGAAUCUCGAUAGCAUUAUGAAUGGAGAAUUAAUAAAUAUUACAUCAAUUUAAACUUUGAUGGGAAGAGGGAACUACGGCGAUGGCUGUGUCAGGACGGAACUUCGUACAGAGCUGCAUCACAAACGUCACACAAUCCGUUGUUUGAAGAGUAGGAUCGCAUUCCAUUUUCCAUGAGUACAUUUGGUGAACCGGUCGUUACAUCUACGUCAGAUCGUGGACCAAUGGUAUGCAGACCGUUUGAUCAAACUGGACAUUUCAAAAUGUCAGAACAGAACGAAAAAAUCUUAGUACUUAUAUCUAAAGGUUGGAAUGAUUUUAUUUCGAACGAAUUGAAUACGGUCCCGGUCUGCUAUAACUAUGAGCGUCAUCUAUCCUACAUUGAUCGUGCUGUAUUAUAGCUUGUGCUAUUUUGAUGUAUACCUAAGCAUAAAUUGAGAAAUUUAAAUAAAAUACGUGUCCAGUAUUUUUUUCGUGAAAGGGUAACCAAAAUACAUCCUCACAAAAUUUCGAAUUUGUAAAUUGAGUAGUUUUUUUUUAUUGCCCUUGUUGGCAGACGAGCAUACGGCCCACCUGAUGGUGAGUGGUUACCGUCGCCCAUGGACUUCAGCAAUGCCAGGGGCAGAGCCAAGCCACUGCCUACCGUUUAAUACUCUCCACAAGCCUCGUUUGAAGAAGGACAUGUCAUAGCGCUCGGGAAACACCGUGGAGGGGAGCUCAUUCCAUAGCCGGAUGGUACGUGGCAAAAAAGACCUCUGGAAACGCACUGUGGAUGACCGCAGUGGCUCCAGGUAGUAUGGGUGGUGGCGGGCGGUGCGAUGGUAAAAACGAGAUGCCGGUAUCAUCUCGAACAAUAUACGGAAUAUUUAAAAUAAAUAAUAUUAUGUUGUCAAAAUAACGGCAACAAGGAUCUGUACAUUGUCAUAUUGUUAUACAUAAUAUAUAAAUUGUACUGAGAGUAGGUGUGUGAUUGUUUAAGUUUGUUGAACUUCUUGAACCUUAGAGGAAGUUGUGAUUCGAGCACUACUUUGGGGAUGUGAUUCUAUUCAUUCAGCAGACAGAAAUCAUACAGAUCAAAGGCAGCUAACAGACCAGGAUCAUUGGAUGGUAAUGCCCCUUUGAAGUUCAAACCCGAGUUGGAGGCAAAGACAUAAAUCAAGAUGCCUUCCUACUCGCUCUGACACUUAAGCUCUCAUUAGACUAACUUAGUGGUGAAAGACUGGACUUGUAAAACUGGUGAUUAUGGAUUACAUUCACUCUUGGCGAUGAGCAUUGAAAUCUACAACCAACACAUCUAUGAAUAGAACUUUCCAACUGUUGUUACUUUGACAAUUAAAAAGCAAAAUUACAGCAUAAGCAAACUAGUAAGCAGCUAGUUUGAAGUAAAUAAUUUUGAGUAAUGCCUGUCAAACAUAAAAGCAGAGUCAACCAUCUUUAGACAGAUUUUAAUAUUUUAUGGAGUUAUUUAUUAAUGAACUAAAAACUACUCUCUUCUAAAUUUUAUUAUACGUUUUUUUACUGUUCAUAAAUCUUUUAACAAUUUGA